GUGCUUGCUUUGGCAGCACAUACACUAAAAUUGGAACGACACAGCGAAGAUUAGCAUGGCCCCUACACACAGAUGACACGUUUUAUAACAUUAAAAAAGAAAGAAAA
rnacentral:snRNA from 1 species